rnacentral:rRNA from 1 species
UCAGGAUGAACGCUGGCGGCGUGCCUAACACAUGCAAGUCGAGCGAUCUCUCGGAGAAGAGCGGCGGACGGGUGAGUAACGCGUGGGUAACCUGCCUCAUACACAUGGAUAACAUACCGAAAGGUAUGCUAAUACAGGAUAAUAUAAGAGAUUCACAUGGAUUUCUUAUCAAAGCUCCGGCGGUAUGAGAUGGACCCGCGUCUGAUUAGCUAGUUGGUAAGGUAACGGCUUACCAAGGCGACGAUCAGUAGCCGACCUGAGAGGGUGAUCGGCCACAUUGGAACUGAGACACGGUCCAAACUCCUACGGGAGGCAGCAGUGGGGAAUAUUGCACAAUGGGCGAAAGCCUGAUGCAGCAACGCCGCGUGAGUGAUGAAGGCCUUCGGGUCGUAAAACUCUGUCCUCAAGGAAGAUAAUGACGGUACUUGAGGAGGAAGCCCCGGCUAACUACGUGCCAGCCGCCGC